GGUUUCACCGUGGUCUCGAUCUCCUGACCUCGUGAUCCGCCCGCCUCAGCCUCCCAAAGUGCUGGGAUUACAGGCGUGAGCCACCGCGCCCGGCCAGUUCAAUGGAUUUUAAAAAUUAUUAUUCUCUAGAAAAAAGACCACGAACUUUGGAGUGGACAUCCUGAGACCUGCCUACGAAGACCAUUAGGUGGCCUCCAGAAGACACUCCCCUGAUUCCUACACCGAGGGAACACACAGCAGCAAGCUAGGAAAGAAGGGGUGACCCAGCCCAACGCUGUAAACCAGGGCGCGAACCGGCGUUGAGCUGUGCAGCUGCGCCCUGGGCUCCAGUCCUGCUCUGCCGCAGACCCCACCGGAGCCAGCACCUGCCUCCCCGACCCUCGCUGGGGCGGCUGUGAGAUGAGCCCAGAGCCUUCCUGAGCCAACCCUCGCAAGGAAAGUCUGUCUGUUCACCCCACUAUCCUUGUCUUGAAGGAUGAAGAAAAGAGGGCCCCCCGGGAGGUCCCAAAAGGUGGAAUGGACAUCUGGGAUCCAAGCACAGCAAUUUCUUUAUUUUUCUUAAGAUUCUUUUUAGAAAUGUCAUUAUUCAAGAAAAAUGCACAAUGGGAAGAAUCUUAACAACAGCACUUUGUUACUUCAGCCUCUCACUAGAGGAUGAAAAUCGUUCUGCAUAAAGGCCUGGGCUUUAUGAAAAAUAUAUUCACACCUCCCGUGUCCGAGCUGGGAUACCAAAGAAGUUCCUGGUUGAGUACUACUUAUGAAUGAAGGAUUCAGGGGAUGCACAGGACACAGAGGAAUCUGGGGGAUAUUAUGGUUCUGGGAAUGUGGAAUGUAACGUCUCAUCUUCAGCCCAUCUGUGCUACUGAUCAUCUCAUUCCAGAAGCCAUGCCUUCUCUCAGGAGCAGACAGCACAAGACUUUCCUGCCAGAGGCACAGUCCCCAGUGGGAGUAGCAUCCACAUAAGACAGGAUGCAGAGAUGUCUUCAAGCAGCUUCAAACAAAACUUCAAGAAAGAAAGUGCAAGUGAAAAAGGAAAUUCAUCCUUCCAGUCACUUAACACAGCACUGUCACGGACACCUUGUGCCUCCUUAAAAUUCGUAUACUGAAGUUCUAAGCCCCAGUACCCCAGAAUGUGACCUUCUUUGGAAAUAGGGUCAUUGCAGAUAUGAUUAGUUAAGAGGAGAUCAUACUGGAGUGGGCUUUAAUCCAAUAUGACUGGUGUCCUUAUGUAAAGGGGAAAUUUGGACACAGACACACACAAGGAGAACACCAUGUGAACUGAAGUCAAAGAUUUGGGUGAUGCUUCUACAAGCCAAGAAAUGCCAAAGAUGACCAGCAAAGCACCGGCAGCUGGUGGAGGAGCCUGGACCAGAUUCUUCCUCACAGCCCUCAAAAGGAACCAAUCUUGCCAAAGCUUUGACUUAGACUUCUAGCCCCCUGUGAUGGUUAAUGUUAAGUGGCAGCUUGACUGGGUUAAGGGAUGCCCAGAUAGCUGGUAAGACAGUAUGUCUGUGUGCAUCUCUCAGAGUGUUUCUGGACAAGAUCAGCAUUUGAAUCCUUAGAGUAAAGAAGAUCUGCCCUCACCCACGUGCAUCACCCUAUCUCUGGAGAGCGCGAACAAACAGGAGGAAGGGCACAUAUGCUCCUUCUGUUCCAGCUGGCACAUCCAUCUUCUCCUGCCCCCUGACUUCAGAGCUCCUGGUUCUCGGGCCUCAGGAUUCCAGCACUUACAUGAGAGCGUGCUUCCCCCUCCCUACUCCACCCCUAGGUUCUCCGCCCUUUGGCCUCUGACUGAAUUCCACCACCAGCUUUUCAGGGUCUCCAGCUUGCAGACGGCAGAUCGUGGGACUUCUUGGCCUCCAUAAUUAUGUAAGCCAAUUCCCAUAAUAAAUCUCCUAUCUAUCUAUCUAUCUAUCCAUCUAUCAAUCAUCUAUCUAGUCUAUCUAUCUAUCUAUCUCUAUCCUAUUGAUUCUGUGUCUCUGAGGAACCCUAAUACACCUCCAGAACUGUGAGAUGAUACAUUUCUGUGGUUUAAGCCACUCAGAAGGUGGUACUUUGUUUCACCAGGCCUAGCAAACUAAUACAAGUGCAUGGAAGGUGACUACUCAUGACUGCAACUUAGAGAACAAGGGUUAUAAUAAAAAUAAAAGUGUUAUACAAAGGUGGCAAGAUAAAUGACAAUAAAUGAAAAUAUUAACAUGUGAAUUAAAAAGUAAAGAUAUUUUUCCUAGCAUUCUCCCAGAAAGUAGAGACGCGUCUCUCUUGUUUGCCAUCAUAUCCAGCAAUGGCAAGAUAAG
rnacentral:lncRNA from 1 species